rnacentral:pre_miRNA from 1 species
AGUUGGAUAGCUGGGUCAAAUGGUGGUUGCAUUCCCAGUUUUCUGAGGAAUCUUCAUGCUGCUUUCCAUAAUAGUUGCACCAAUUUGCAGUUCCCCCAGCAAU